AAGGGGAAGAAGAGAGGGGAGGAGAGGAAGGGAGGUAGAGAGAGAGAGAAAGAGAGAGGGAGAGAGUGAGAGGGACAGAGAGAAAGAAAUAGUGAGAGUGUGGGAGAAAGAGAGUGAAGAGAGAGAGAGAGAACGAGACAGAGCUCACAAAGGCCAUUGAAUCUCUCCCCUUUUUAGCCAUCAAAGACAUUAGAUAAACCAUACAGAAUAAUCCCCCCCAUAUAGCUUCAACAAAGGCACCUCGUUGCUCCUCCCGCUCAGCGUUCAUAUAUCAAACGUGUAUUCCCUCAGCCCUCUCAAUCCCUCUGACGAAGCGAGGUUUCUCUUUAUGCCUGUGUAUGUGUGGGUGUGUGUGUGAAGCCAGGCGAGUGGGCAAGUUAUCUAGCGCUAGGUUGCUAGCGGCUUUCACGUUAGCAUGCUACGCUACACCCUUUCUCAUCUGGGAUAUCUUCUUAAGAGUCAGGGACGAUACAAAGCCUUCAUUUCCUCUUUUACUCCUCCUCUCUCUUUCCCUCUAUGUCUCUCUCUCUCUCUUUACUUCUAACUUUUCUAAAUAAAGCAUAAAAUAAAUCACACAAAGGCCAGGGUGUACGACUUGUCCCAUUGGCUGAUCUGGCUAAGGCGCGGCUGACAAACUGGCCUUGUUUUCUCUGAGUGCCAACUUAUAGCAGAAUUAAUUUCCCCUUAAUAAUUCAGCUUUACAGCAUAACACAUGUUUGUAUUCAAUGACAAACAAGCUGUAAAACAGGACUUAGAGGAACGUAAGCCAAAGAGAGAGACAGAGAGAGAGAGAGAGAGAGAGAGAGAGAGACGCAAAUAAAAUAUUCCUACAUCUCAGAUUCACUCAAGUUCCUACUUUAACGGUAAAUCAGGUUUUCUAGGCUGCUACAUAGAUUAAUUAGACUGAAGUGAAGCAGCUAGGGCUGGGCUGACUGAAAUCUUUAUACCAACAAUAUAAUGAAAUCAUACUUCCUAAUGCUUUGACUACGCUCGCUGCAUUCAGAGUAACUUUAAUCUUCCUCUGGCCCGUUCCCAUUGAUCUCAGAACUAGCAUGCGAUGCAAAAUGGGAAAAGUAGGCUAAAAUGCUGAGCAGUAGUGAAAAUACUAAUGCCAUGUUUUUUUGCAUCCCAAUUGGGACCCUAUUCCCUAUAUAGUACUUUACUUUUAAACAGAGAUCUAUGGGCCCUGGUCAAAAGCAGUAUGCUACAAAGGGUAUAGGGUAUAAUUUGGGGGACAGAGUUUAUAUUGUCUCUCACUCUAAGCUAGGUCUGUAUCCAGCUAAACUGUGUCAAGGAAACCUCUAGCAUCGACAGACAGAAGGUAACGGGUACAGCCUGUCUCUGAGAGAGAGAGAGCUCGAGAGAGAGAGAGAGCGAGAGAGAGAGAGAGCGAGAGAAAUGGGGAGACAGAAAUUGAAUUGAAUGACAGCCCUUCACGUUUGUGUGUGUGUGUGUGUGUGUGUGUGUGUGUGUGUGUGUGUGUGUGUGUGUGUGUGUGUGAUAUAGAUUAUUCAUAAAUCAUUCAUCUGACUAUCAGUAGAAAGCCUUACCUCCAUCUCCACCUAGAGAGACUGUAUAACACGACUCUACCCACUGCUAUCAGACUCUAUAGUAACUCUACCCACUGCUAUCAGACUGUAUAGCACCACUCUACCCACUGCUAUCAGACUGUAUAACACCACUCUACCCACUGCUAUCAGACUGUAUAGCACCACUCUACCCACUGCUAUCAGACUGUAUAACACCACU
rnacentral:lncRNA from 13 species